GCUUCGAGGUUGUUUCGCCCGGUCAGGGCGGCCUCUCACGUCAAUGACCUGGGUUCGAAUCCCAGUCGGAGCA
rnacentral:tRNA from 1 species